rnacentral:rRNA from 1 species
GGUUAAGCGACUAAGCGUACACGGUGGAUGCCCUGGCAGUCAGAGGCGAUGAAGGACGUGCUAAUCUGCGAAAAGCGCCGGCGAGGUGAUAUGAACCUUUGACCCGUCGAUGUCCGAAUGGGGAAACCCAGUGUGUUCCGACACACUAUCGUUAACUGAAUACAUAGGUUAACGAGGCGAACCGGGGGAACUGAAACAUCUAAGUACCCCGAGGAAAAGAAAUCAACCGAGAUUCCCCCAGUAGCGGCGAGCGAACGGGGAGCAGCCCGGAGUCUGAAUCAGCUUGUGUGUUAGUGGAACGGUCUGGAAAGUCCGACGGUACAGGGUGAUAGUCCCGUACACGAAAAUACACUUGCUGUGAACUCGAAGAGUAGGGCGGGACACGUGGUAUCCUGUCUGAAUAUGGGGGGACCAUCCUCCAAGGCUAAAUACUCCUGACUGACCGAUAGUGAACCAGUACCGUGAGGGAAAGGCGAAAAGAACCCCGGCGAGGGGAGUGAAAAAGAACCUGAAACCGUGUACGUACAAGCAGUGGGAGCCUCUUUAUGGGGUGACUGCGUACCUUUUGUAUAAUGGGUCAGCGACUUAUAUUCUGUAGCAAGGUUAACCGUAUAGGGGAGCCGAAGGGAAACCGAGUCUUAACUGGGCGUUAAGUUGCAGGGUAUAGACCCGAAACC